CCCUAAGAAAGAGGCCAUUAGAAGCAGGAAAAGGCAGAAUCAUAACAAGUCCAAAUGAGGGUGCUUCUGGGAUUUCAUGCACCAGAAGCAUUUGAUUUCCUCCUCAAAUCUUGAAUUGUUCCCAGAACCUUCCAGCUUCUGCCUCUGCUCUGUGAACUCCCUGAAGCAGAUACUACGUUUGUUGGAGCCAUUAUCAGAGGAAAACAAACAGCUUCUGCCUCCAGCUGCCUGCUUCAGUGUAUGCCAGAGACCUUGUGAGAUUUUCUGGGCUCUAAGUGGUGCUCACUGCCUCUCCACACCUGCUGGUCCUCUGCUCCCAAGGCUUGGAAGAAUCUCACCUGUGAUGGCACUGCACCAUAGAGAGGAGAGGGACACAGAUGACCGGGAGUCUUCUGAACGCUGACUUCUGGAGGAAGUGACGCUGUGGACUUGGGUACUCCCUGGCGGGCAGAUGCUGGAGAAGGUUCCCGAGGGUGAGGACAGUUGGGGCUGUGGUGUGGAGCUCACAGUGGGCCUCAUGCAGGCCUCACAGCAGCUCUGUGCAAGUGCAAAGGAAUCCCCUUUUUGGAACUUUGUCACAGUUCCAUGAUGUCACCACCACCUGUCUGGAAUCCCUGUGGGCCAACCCUGCUUAGUGGCGCUGUGGAAGUCCGUGUCUGCUUCUUGGGAAGAAGAUGCGUUCCCACCAUGUGCAAACAAGUGCACACACUGCACCGCCACCGAUGUUCCAAUCGUGAUGGACUUUGAACGGAAAUCAGAACCGCUGCUUCAUUAGAAAGACUCCUCAGGCAGCCGGGAAAGGGGAUGAACUUUGGACCUGCAGUUGGGAAGGCAGAGCAGGACCGGAAUACUUGGCUCAUCUUUUCCUCGCCUGACUCCUGAGACUCAAGGUCAGGAUGCCGAGGAGCCCUCGCUGGCGCUCACUGUGACCUGUCCACCCACCCACCCUCAGUCACGUCAGCCGUUCAUCUGGCUCCUCCUCACUACCCCCCUUCUUCACGUCAUCGCUUCCAAGUUCUUUUCUUGAAAGCAAUUCCUUAUGUGUUCAUUUCUCAAAAGCAUUCCAAGGUCUGAACCGCAAGGGUACAGACUCCAGUCUGCAGGGCAGUUCAUGCUUCCAUUUCAUAGGCCAAACACUUUUGCCAAACUGAGGACGUAAAAGGUGGCACACCCUUGUCAAGCGAGGUCCCGUGAUGUGCCCUUGUGUAAUCGAAAAUCCAGACAUGGAGACCAAAGGGAUGGGAUACUAGGCCUUCUGCCAGGUCCAGGCAAGCGCUUUGGCCAGUGGCUCCUGCUCCUGCUUCUCUGCAUCCUCCCUGGGCUUUGGCUUUUCUCUGGGAAUUCUUCCAACACACCUGUGGUUUCCUUUCUUCCCAGUCUGAUACUUCAGCUGACAUUAUCAGGAACAAAGCUUGGUCCCCACUUUAAAAAUCGGUGUGUAGAACUCUCCUGACUAGAAGGUGCCUGUAAUGUGAAAUUAAGGACAAGACUCCAGCUUUGAAGCAACCAUUAAAGGAAUAAGUAAUGGAAAGUUGCCUUUCACAUCUCACUCAUUUUAGACACAUUCUAAUUAACUCUGCCAGAAAAAAUAAUUGGCCUAGAUCAGGUCGAUCUGAUUGAGGAUUGUAAUAACCUCAGCUGAGUGGUAUUUAUAUUCAGCUUCUGGUCUUGGGUGAAGUUACUAUGUGGCUUGAAUGCUAAUUGUAUGCUAAGUGGGGCCAAGAACAACACUCAAGCACAUCCAUAUGUCUACUUGCUUUUAGCUUCCUUGUGAGGAGGUGCAGAGAAAGGUUUUCAAGAGUUCAUUUUAAGGUGAUGGCCUGAAACAUGUGUUGUUUCCCAGGAGAAAUGAGGUCAGUGUUAGUGGUGAGCUCUCUGGUUGGAGAAAGGUUGCAGAAGCAUUCAUAUAAGCUCUGGCAUUGUUGGGAGACAUCUGUAGAAACAAUACCGUCAUGGCCCUGGGUGGCAAAGUCUGUUCCCAUAGGAGAAAGCAAGACAAGGAGGAGUCCCCUCCUGGGAUAGGGCCCCUAUUGGAGCCCAGAGAGAUGGUGGGCUGAGUCUUUCCCUCAACUGGCAGGUGGGGGCAGAAGCAGGUGGCUGUCAGCUUAUGUGGAUGGUUGGUGGCAUCAGCUGCCAUGGCUGCCAGUGGUGGAGGAAAACCCUCCCAGGUGGGGCUCAGACUGGGCUGGGCUGAUGUCUUUGCACAAAGACUGAAGGUGUGAUGAGGAAAAUCCUGCAGCUGAGGUUAUUAACUUGCAGAGUAUGGAUGCAGCCACACAGAGUGACGAACAGAUAGAGCAGGAUGGGGUGGGAGGUGGGCUAGAGGCACAGAGUGAUCUGGGAGCUGAUCUCUUUCAUGUGGGGUCUCUGUUUCCUACAUUCUCAGCAGUACAGUAUUUUGAUGUGGCAACUCUCUCCUUGCCCUUUCUGUCCUCUCCCGCUCCUGGUGCCCUGACUCCUCAGUGACCUGUCUAUGCCACCCCAGCCCUCCUGGGGCCUCCUGCCUUCCCACUUGGUCUCUUCCCUCCCUCUGCCAUGGGCAGACAGGCUCCCUGGGCAGGUGAGCUUAGCUCAAGUGAGAAAGGGCUUUUGUUGUGCUAGCAAUGACCAGUCCCCUGGUUGCUUGUCCAGGAGGGUCUGUACUUAGAGAGGUACCUGUGAUGCUUAGCCAUGCAAAGCGAAGGCAGGUGGUUAGGAAGGGCAGUAAGCACCCAGCAGUCUGGCCCUGCCUAAGAGUCUGUCUUGAACUUUGUGAAAGCAAACCUGGUCCCAGUCCUGAGCCUGGGUUUUCUAGAAGUCCCGGCUUUUCAUGGCAUCUUCCACUGCUGGGGCAGAAGCUGGACUAGACUAGGGAUCAAGAUGGGGGUGAUAUUGAUGCCACCAGCUGCUGAGUGCCCCAGGCAGCCAGGGACUGUGCUGAGUAUUCUAAUUCACAGUAUCUUUUAAGUUUCACAGAAACUCUAUGAAGAAGACACUCUUUUACUCCCCAUGUUAGAGAUGUGAGGCACAGAGAGGUGGGUAAUUUGGGCCCAUGGUGCUAAACUGUGGCAAAGCCAGGAUGCAAAUGCAGAGCAUUGGAUUCGGAAGCUGCCCUUUGGCCCAACGUUGUGCCAGGAAAGCCAAGGGGAGGCCUGCACAUUCAGGACACAGAAGUGGUGCCAUCGGGCAAGGGCUUCGCAGUGUGACCAGAGCUGAGCGAGGGAAACAAAGGAGGCUGAGGAAGAAGAGAAACCCAACACAGAGAACAGCAGGAUGCACACAGUGAGCAGAGGGCAUGGUUCACCGAAGUUGAUUAAAGUCAACCUGAAGGCCAAGCAGGAGGCUCAGGGAGCUGCUAGAGACCGAGGAGAUGGCCUGGACAAAGUCUGGGAGGGACGGAGUGGGAAAGGCGGGCAGGAGGAAGCUGUCUGCUCACCUAAGCAGAGGCCGGGGUAGCAGACAAGGCAGAGGGCAGAGGACAGGAGGGAGGGAACAAAGUGGCAAGUGGGAUGGCCUCAGGCCUCCUUAGGGAGAGGCAGUGGUUACAGGAGCUCAGCUAGCAAAGAACUCUCUGCCGUCCUUAUCCGAGCCAUCAUCUGGCAGUGUCACUGUGCACCUGACACCCACACAAGUAUUCUGAUUUUCCCAGCCUUUCAGGUCAGCUGCUGAUAGUUCCACUUGCUAGUAGGAGAUCAGGCCUGCACCAGUGAGGUGACAAAUUAGCAAAUUUCAGAGAGGGAAUUUAAAACCAGGACUCACCUGCUGCCUUAGUUAUAGUCUAACCUGCUGGGACAAAACACCAGGAAAAGGGAGUGAAAUUGGAUGGGGCUGGGGUCCCAGGCCAGGGAGUGCAGUGGUCCUGCUCCAUGGUGUCAGUUCGAGACCCAGACUGCCCCUGGUCACAUAGACUGUGACAGCUCAGGGUGCUGUCUCCACCCCUUCUCAAAGCUGUAUACUCACAAUGUCGCAGUCCUUGUGGGAAGACAGGCUCCAGGCAGAUGGCCCUGUUGUGAACAGGAUUGUCUCCGAUGAGAUCCUACUGCUCAGCUCAACUGCCCAGUGGUCCGUCACGUCACACAGCCAGCAGGGACACUGGGGAACCAUAGCAAGAGGUCUCGAGCCAGCUUCAGCUCAAGGCUGCCGUGUUAAAAGGAAGAGCCUUACAUCUGUUGCCAUGUGGCAUUUGAUACAGCUCUGUGUAUUUUCCCAGGGUGACCGGGGACCUGGCACAGGUGAGACAGAGCCUGGGUCUAUCUGGGUAAGGGACAGCAGGCUCCUUCACUGCUCCUGGAAGGUGGUGUUUCAUGACUCAGGGAGGUGAGGAGGGAAGCUGCAGACUGCACGGAGAAACGUUGUGGAAACCAUGUUGAUAGAAGAUGGUUGGAGGGAGACUCAUGUUCUCUAAAUAUUAACAAAAUCAGAAUUGCCAUGGAGAAAAAUGUAAGUACACAAAAUAAAGGACAAGAAAAGGAA